AGAGUUUGAUCCUGGCUCAGAACGAACGUUGGCGGCGUGGAUUAGGCAUGCAAGUCGAGCGAAUCCCUGGGGCUUGCUCCAGGGGGAAGCGGCGAAAGGGGCAGUAAGGCGUGGGUAACCUACCCUGGGGACGGGGAUAGCCAUCCUAACGGAUGGGUAAUACCUGGCGAUGCGGCGGCGUCACAAGGCGCUGCCGUGAAAGGAAUUUCGCCUCGGGAGGGGCUCACGUGGUAUUAGCUAGUUGGUGAGGUAAUGGCUCACCAAGGCUUAGAUGCCUAGCGGGUGUGAGAGCACGACCCGCGCCAUUGGCACUGAGACACUGGCCAGACACCUACGGGUGGCUGCAGUCGAGAAUCUUCGGCAAUGGGCGCAAGCCUGACCGAGCGACGCCGCGUGUGCGACGAAGGCCUUCGGGUUGUAAAGCACUGUCGAGGGGGAGGAAAGCCGAAAGGUUUGACCUAUCCCUGGAGGAAGCACGGGCUAAGUUCGUGCCAGCCGCCGCGGUAAUAC
rnacentral:rRNA from 1 species